GACGUAGGGCGCGAGCGUUGUCCGGAUUUAUUGGGCGUAAAGAGCUCGUAGGCGGCUUGUCGCGUCGACUGUGAAAACCCGCGGCUCAACUGCGGGCCUGCAGCCGAUACGGGCAGGCUAGAGUUCGGUAGGGGAGACUGGAAUUCCUGGUGUAGCGGUGAAAUGCGCAGAUAUCAGGAGGAACACCGGUGGCGAAAGCGACUCUCUGGACGGCAACUGACGCUGAGGCACGAAAGCGUGGGGAGCAAACAGG
rnacentral:rRNA from 1 species